rnacentral:rRNA from 1 species
AUUGAACGCUGGCGGCAUGCUUUACACAUGCAAGUCGAACGGUAACAGGCCGCAAGGUGCUGACGAGUGGCGAACGGGUGAGUAAUGCAUCGGAACGUGCCCAGUCGUGGGGGAUAACGCAGCGAAAGCUGCGCUAAUACCGCAUACGAUCUAUGGAUGAAAGCGGGGGACCGAAAGGCCUCGCGCGAUUGGAGCGGCCGAUGACAGAUUAGGUAGUUGGUGGGGUAAAGGCCCACCAAGCAAACGAUCUGUAGCUGGUCUGAGAGGGCGACCAGCCACACUGGGACUGAGACACGGCCCAGACUCCUACGGGAGGCAGCAGUGGGGAAUUUUGGACAAUGGGCGCAAGCCUGAUCCAGCAAUGCCGCGUGCAGGAAGAAGGCCUUCGGGUUGUAAACUGCUUUUGUACGGAACGAAACGGUCCGGGUUAAUACCCUGGGCUAAUGACGGUACCGUAAGAAUAAGCACCGGCUAACUACGUGCCAGCCGCCGCGGUAACAC